rnacentral:rRNA from 1 species
GAUGAACGCUGGCGGCGUGCCUAAUACAUGCCAGUCGAGCGAACAGACGAGGAGCUUGCUCCUCUGACGUUAGCGGCGGACGGGCGAGUAACACGUGGAUAACCUACCUAUAAGACUGGGAUAACUUCGGGAAACCGGAGCUAAUACCGGAUAAUAUAUUGAACCGCAUGGUUCAAUAGUGAAAGACGGUUUUGCUGUCACUUAUAGAUGGAUCCGCGCCGCAUUAGCUAGUUGGUAAGGUAACGGCUUACCAAGGCAACGAUGCGUAGCCGACCUGAGAGGGUGAUCGGCCACACUGGAACUGAGACACGGUCCAGACUCCUACGGGAGGCAGCAGUAGGGAAUCUUCCGCAAUGGGCGAAAGCCUGACGGAGCAACGCCGCGUGAGUGAUGAAGGUCUUCGGAUCGUAAAACUCUGUUAUUAGGGAAGAACAAAUGUGUAAGUAACUAUGCACGUCUUGACGGUACCUAAUCAGAAAGCCACGGCUAACUACGUG